CAGGCUGGUACAGGAUUGGGGAAAUGUUCGCCAACCCGCCAACCUUGUCGCCAACCCGCCAACCUUGUCGCCAACGUCGCCAACAUUCUGAACAGUACCCCUAUUCGCCAACGUCGCCAACAUCGCCAACAUUCUAACCAGUAAACCUGUUCGCCAACGUCGCCAACAUUCUAACCAGUACCCCUGUUCGCCAACGUCGCCAACAUUCUAACCAGUACCCCUGUUCGCCAACGUCGCCAACGUCGCCAACAUUCUAACCAGUACCCCUGUUCGCCAACAUCGCCAACGUCGCCAACAUUCUAACCAGUACCCCUGUUCGCCAACGUCGCCAACGUCGCCAACAUUCUAAACAGUACCCCUGUUUGCCAACGUCGCCAACAUUCUAACCAGUACCCCUGUUCGCCAACGUCGCCAACAUUCUGAACAGUACCCCUGUUCGCCAACGUCGCCAACGUCGCUAACAUUCUUAACAGUACCCCUGUUCGCCAACGUCGCCAACAUUCUGAACAGUACCCCUGUUCGCCAACGUCGCCAACAUUCUAAACAGUCUCCCUGUUCGCCAACGUCGCCAACGUCGCCAACAUUCUAAACAGUGCUCAUGUUCACACACUUCAUCCAACAUUCUGAACAGUACCCCUGUUCGCCAACGUCGCCAACGUCGCCAACAUUCUUAACAGUACCCCUGUUCGCCAACGUCGCCAAAUCUAAACAUAAUAAAGGUUCGCCAACUUAAAAUAUAUUUGAUGUUAUUUAAAUAUAACAUCUUCUUAGUUUCGCUUGUGUUUGUAACAAUGCAUUUAAUUUAAAUUAAAAAAAUCUCUGUAUUACUAAAAACUUAUUACACCAGGGUUUUCAUUAUCACUGACUAGUUAUUACAUUAACUAAAUUUCAUCAUUGAUACAAAGACAUAAUUCAUAAAUAAAUCAACAUGCAGACAUCUUAUAUGUCAUGUUCAGGACAAUUAGGUAUUUGAUAACCAUUUUAUGGUAAUAUACUAUACAAAACACAAAAAUGUUGUCAUUCCUCAAAGCUAACAAAACCUAGUUAUUCAGAAGGGAUAUCGAUAUAUAGAUAUAAUCCCAUAAUCCUGUUCGCCAAAUUCCACAACUUCCAAAUGAUUUUAACAAGUACCCCUGUUCUACAGUUUAAGAGUCUUUCAAACAAGUACCACCUGUUUGCCUUAAAAUUGCCAACAUUCAAAUCAUUAAAAAAAAACAUAUAAAAAUAAGAAUAAAUAAAAAACUCAUAAUGACAAAUUCAAUCAAUACUUAGGAAUAUAAGGGAUAUAUACUUGACCAUCUUUUGUGAGAGAAAAAAAAUCAUGCAAAUCUAAUACCAUCUCUAAAAAUUAAUAGUUUAAUCAAGUUGAACAAUUGCAACCUAUGCAGAAACUAAAUAGUGCUACAUUUUUUAUAAUUAAAUAGCUAUAGCCCAUAAAUAGUUUCCAAAAAGGAAUACAAAAAUCUUCAAAAAAGACUUACCAGCCUGCUAACAGC
rnacentral:lncRNA from 1 species